GGUUCUGCUGGUGAGGCGAUGUGUUCACAGGAAACCUGAAGAUAGUUAAUCUAAUGGAUCAUCUUAGCAGAACAAGACAAAGCUGGAGAAGAUGAAGUCAUCACUGACAUCAUGUGCAGUAUAAUCAACAUAUCAAAAAAUCAACAAGAGCCAAUCAGAGAAAUCCGAGAGAGUUACUCAGCUGCAGUCUACUCAGCAGUGAAAACUGAAGAUAUGAGUAAUGGACGAACAGCCAUCAGAGCCAGGAGGACCAGACUUUAAACCAGAGCCAGACGUUGUCUACUCUUCACUGAAGUAGUCCACCAGUCCAACCACUGACGUCCAGCUGCUGGUCUCUAGUUGGUCUCCCCAGCACUUCAAACCAGAGAUCCACAAGUUAACAAUAUAUAUUUUUAAUAUGUUUUUAUUUAACUUGUAUACAUUAUUUUAUCUUAUCUUUUAUGUGAAUUUUCUCUAAAAUUUAAAAUGUGAACAGUAAAUGUUAAAAUGUUCUGGUGACUGUGGUUCAGAUGGUAAUUUGAUUGGUAGUUUGUCAGGUGAUUUUUGGGCAGGAUACUGAACUUUGAGCUUCCCCCAAUGCAUGCACAUGAGUGUGUCUGUGAAUAUUACAAUAUUUAUCCUUGCAAUAACGUAUGUGUGAAUGAGACUUGCAAUAGAAAGCGAAAGUGCUUUGAGUGUUCGUCUUGCGUGUUUUCCUCGUGUGUUUCUGUGAGUCUAAAAAGAUUUAAAACGGAAACUUAAAUAAACAUCAAACCACACCAGACUAAAUUUGUGAAUUCAUGUGAAUCAGAACCGACUUAUUUUUCGACCACAUCUCCUGAACCACCAAUCUCCUGUUAAACUGCUCACCAUUGAACUUUGGAA